rnacentral:rRNA from 1 species
GAAUUUUGGACAAUGGGCGAAAGCCUGAUCCAGCAAUGCCGCGUGCAGGAUGAAGGCCUUCGGGUUGUAAACUGCUUUUGUACGGAACGAAAAGCUUUGGGUUAAUACCCUGGAGUCAUGACGGUACCGUAAGGAUAAGCACCGGCUAACUACGUUCCAGCAGCCGCGGUAAUACGUGGGGUGCAAGCGUUAAUCGGAAUUACUGGGCGUAAAGCGUGCGCAGGCGGUUUGGCAAGAAGGAUGUGAAAUCCCAGGGCUUAACCUUGGAACUGCAUUCUUAACUGCCAGGCUAGAGUAUGUCAGAGGGGGGUGGAAUUCCGCGUGUAGCAGUGAAAUGCGUAGAUAUGCGGAGGAACACCGAUGGCGAAGGCAACCCCCUGGGCCUGUACUGACGCUCAUGCACGAAAGCGUGGGGAGCAAACAG